rnacentral:tRNA from 1 species
GCACCUCGCUUACACCGAGGAGACAUCCGUGAAACCCGGACCAUUUUGA